rnacentral:rRNA from 1 species
GUGCCAGCAGCCGCGGUAAGACGAAGGUGGCUAGCGUUGUUCGGUAUCACUGGGCUUAAAGCGUGUGUAGGCGGGAAAGUAAGCAUCAUGUGAAAUCCCCCGGCUCAACCGGGGAAUUGUGUGAUGUACUGCUUUUCUUGAGGCAAGUAGGGGUGCAUGGAACUCUUGGUGGAGCGGUGGAAUGCGUAGAUAUCAAGAGGAACGCCAGUGGAGAAAUCGGUGCACUGGGCUUGUCCUGACGCUGAGACACGAAAGCGUGGGGAGCGAACGGGAUUAGAAACCCUUGUAGUCC